CGGCUGCACGAUGCCGAAUUUUGGACGGGAAUGGCGCGCUCCGAGAGAUUCGAACUCCCGACCCUCGGAAUCGAAAUCCGAUGCUCUAUCCAGCUGAGCUAGGAGCGCUGACGGCUGCACCAUAGCCAAUGACGGCUCGAAAUCCAGCCCGAAAUCGCUCCAAAACUCCUGUUUUAGCCGCAGGCAGUUGCAAGGUGUUUGCGGUCAAAACACAACGGAAAAUACUG
rnacentral:tRNA from 1 species